rnacentral:rRNA from 1 species
AUAAUGGGUCAGCGACUUAUAUUCUGUAGCAAGGUUAACCGAAUAGGGGAGCCGAAGGGAAACCGAGUCUUAACUGGGCGUUAAGUUGCAGGGUAUAGACCCGAAACCCGGUGAUCUAGCCAUGGGCAGGUUGAAGGUUGGGUAACACUAACUGGAGGACCGAACCGACUAAUGUUGAAAAAUUAGCGGAUGACUUGUGGCUGGGGGUGAAAGGCCAAUCAAACCGGGAGAUAGCUGGUUCUCCCCGAAAGCUAUUUAGGUAGCGCCUCGUGAAUUCAUCUCCGGGGGUAGAGCACUGUUUCGGCAAGGGGGUCAUCCCGACUUACCAACCCGAUGCAAACUGCGAAUACCGGAGAAUGUUAUCACGGGAGACACACGGCGGGUGCUAACGUCCGUCGUGAAGAGGGAAACAACCCAGACCGCCAGCUAAGGUCCCAAAGUCAUGGUUAAGUGGGAAACGAUGUGGGAAGGCCCAGACAGCCAGGAUGUUGGCUUAGAAGCAGCCAUCAUUUAAAGAAAGCGUAAUAGCUCACUGGUCGAGUCGGCCUGCGCGGAAGAUGUAACGGGGCUAAACCAUGCACCGAAGCUGCGGCAGCGACGCUGAUGCGUUGUUGGGUAGGGGAGCGUUCUGUAAGCCUGCGAAGGUGUGCUGUGAGGCAUGCUGGAGGUAUCAGAAGUGCGAAUGCUGACAUAAGUAACGAUAAAGCGGGUGAAAAGCCCGCUCGCCGGAAGACCAAGGGUUCCUGUCCAACGUUAAUCGGGGCAGGGUGAGUCGACCCCUAAGGCGAGGCCGAAAGGCGUAGUCGAUGGGAAACAGGUUAAUAUUCCUGUACUUGGUGUUACUGCGAAGGGGGGACGGAGAAGGCUAUGUUGGCCGGGCGACGGUUGUCCCGGUUUAAGCGUGUAGGCUGGUUUUCCAGGCAAAUCCGGAAAAUCAAGGCUGAGGCGUGAUGACGAGGCACUACGGUGCUGAAGCAACAAAUGCCCUGCUUCCAGGAAAAGCCUCUAAGCAUCAGGUAACAUCAAAUCGUACCCCAAACCGACACAGGUGGUCAGGUAGAGAAUACCAAGGCGCUUGAGAGAACUCGGGUGAAGGAACUAGGCAAAAUGGUGCCGUAACUUCGGGAGAAGGCACGCUGAUAUGUAGGUGAAGUCCCUCGCGGAUGGAGCUGAAAUCAGUCGAAGAUACCAGCUGGCUGCAACUGUUUAUUAAAAACACAGCACUGUGCAAACACGAAAGUGGACGUAUACGGUGUGACGCCUGCCCGGUGCCGGAAGGUUAAUUGAUGGGGUCAGCGCAAGCGAAGCUCUUGAUCGAAGCCCCGGUAAACGGCGGCCGUAACUAUAACGGUCCUAAGGUAGCGAAAUUCCUUGUCGGGUAAGUUCCGACCUGCACGAAUGGCGUAAUGAUGGCCAGGCUGUCUCCACCCGAGACUCAGUGAAAUUGAACUCGCUGUGAAGAUGCAGUGUACCCGCGGCAAGACGGAAAGACCCCGUGAACCUUUACUAUAGCUUGACACUGAACAUUGAGCCUUGAUGUGUAGGAUAGGUGGGAGGCUUUGAAGUGUGGACGCCAGUCUGCAUGGAGCCGACCUUGAAAUACCACCCUUUAAUGUUUGAUGUUCUAACGUGGACCCGUAAUCCGGGUUGCGGACAGUGUCUGGUGGGUAGUUUGACUGGGGCGGUCUCCUCCUAAAGAGUAACGGAGGAGCACGAAGGUUGGCUAAUCCUGGUCGGACAUCAGGAGGUUAGUGCAAUGGCAUAAGCCAGCUUGACUGCGAGCGUGACGGCGCGAGCAGGUGCGAAAGCAGGUCAUAGUGAUCCGGUGGUUCUGAAUGGAAGGGCCAUCGCUCAACGGAUAAAAGGUACUCCGGGGAUAACAGGCUGAUACCGCCCAAGAGUUCAUAUCGACGGCGGUGUUUGGCACCUCGAUGUCGGCUCAUCACAUCCUGGGGCUGAAGUAGGUCCCAAGGGUAUGGCUGUUCGCCAUUUAAAGUGGUACGCGAGCUGGGUUUAGAACGUCGUGAGACAGUUCGGUCCCUA